rnacentral:lncRNA from 1 species
UUCGCUGAUGUGGAGAGACACAGAGGAGAGGAAUUGUUGAAUAAAGUCAUUAUUUUUGUUUUCUUGGUGUAUUAAAAAGUAUUCUCAUCUCUUCGUAAUGUUACGGUUGAAUCACUGAUGGCAGAUGGAGUAUUCUGACGAUGCUUUCCUGGACCUUGACACUGUUAUUUAUUUGGCAGUCUAUGGGACAGUCUCAAGCCUCCCGGUUUUCAUCCAAAAUAUCUCAAAUUGUGUUCCGAAGAUGAACAAAGCUUUUACGGGUUUGGAACGACAUGGGGGUUAGUGAUUAAUGACAACAUUUUUAUUUUGGGGUGGAGUAUCCCUUUAAGAAUCAAGGGGAUGUAAACUUUUGAACUAUUAUUUUCUCUUGUGGACUAUAUGUACACAUAUUUUAAGUGAAAUAUCUUUUUCAUGUCAGUACUAAAUAAACAAUAACAUGCAUUUUGUAUGAUCCCUCUUAUUUUUUUGCAAGGGGGAUGUACACAUUUGACUUCAACUCUAUUUCCAUUUCUAAUUAAUAUAGAACAGGCAAUGUGUUACAAAUUCACAGAGACAUUUUCCCCCAUGUUAUUUUGUCACAUUUCUGCCCAGAUCCAGGCAAUAAAUGUAGAUCAAUGUAACUAAUUAUUUUCCUUUAGGAUUCUUCAGAUUCUUCAUCGAAAGCAGUCUGUCGGCGAGACGCUUCAUUGUUUCUGGAGGAGCGGACCGAGUGACGUCAUCUCUGAGAGGAGGCGAGGAGGAGGAGGAGGAGGAGGAGGAGGGAGGGUACCAGGGAGGAGAGGCUGCUGCCUGCGAGCAUCGAUGACAUCAACGAGCUCAAGAAUCUCUGGAGGUCUUUUGGAAAUGGAGGCUCUGUCUGAGAACGGAAUAUGAUGCUCGAGUCUCUCCUCAAAGGCACCCUCGCGCAGAUUACACCUCCGUUCUCCCGGAGAGCAGAAGAACACCCGGAAACACCCGGAUCGACCUGCGCUCCCGCGCGCUGUUUCUGUAUGUUCCGAGAGUUAGUGAUGAGAGGGAACAGAUGAUUUCUUCGAGGGCUUGUUUUGGCUCGUUCUUCGAUCGCAUCCAAACGCGUUUGCGCCUUUGUUCGGGUUUCGCUCCAGAUCCUCGACUCUCUUUCUCUCCGGAUUCACGAUUCAAACCUUCGGCUCUGAGCGGAUCCGGGUGGAAACAGGCGAGGACUGAAGUGAUGUGUGUUUUCUGACCAGGUCAGCGAUCAUGGCUGAUAAUAACAGCGAAAUAUGAAGGAAAAUUACUGAGCAGUUUCACUGGUUCUCCAGCGAACAAAGCCUGUCUGGCACUGACACACCAUCGCCUUCAUUCUGAUGCAAAACCAGCGCGUCUUCUGUAGUCUGGUAACCUUACAAAUAACAAAUACUACAUAAAAUACUACUAGCAGCACAAAGAAUAGCAUUUCUACAAUUGGUAACCCAAGCAAUGCAUGAGUUUUAUAGGCAAACACAGACAGAACCUGCUCUUUAAUUCGGUUUUAAUGAGCUGCUAAAAAAAGCAAACUGUAAUAGUGAAGAAAUAUCUAGAACAAUAUUGUG